GAUGAACGCUAGCGGCAGGCUUCAUACAUGCAAGUCGAGGGGCAGCAUAAAUUACUUGUAAUUUGAUGGCGACCGGCGAACGGGUGCGUAACGCGUAUGCAACUUACCUUUUACUAGAGAAUAGCCAAGAGAAAUUUUGAUUAAUGCUCUAUACACUUAUUAAUUCACAUGAAUCUAUAAGAAAAGCUCCGGCGGUAAAAGAUGGGCAUGCGUCCUAUUAGCUUGUAGGUGAGGUAAUGGCUCACCUAAGCUCCGAUAGGUAGGGGUCCUGAGAGGGAGAUCCCCCACACUGGUACUGAGACACGGACCAGACUUCUACGGAAGGCAGCAGUAAGGAAUAUUGGACAAUGGAGGCAACUCUGAUCCAGCCAUGCCGCGUGAAGGAAGACGGCCUUAUGGGUUGUAAACUUCUUUUAUACAGGAAGAAAAACUCCGACGUGUCGGAACUUGACGGUACUGUAAGAAUAAGGAUCGGCUAACUCCGUGCCAGCAGCCGCCGUA
rnacentral:rRNA from 1 species